rnacentral:rRNA from 1 species
GUCCUAGCCCUAAACGAUCGGCACUUGAGGUGGGCCCUGUCCGGGGUCCGUCUCGCAGCCAACGCGAUAAGUGCCGCGCCUGGGGAGUACGGUCGCAAGACUGAAACUCAAAGGAAUUGACGGGGGCCCGCACAAGCGGUGGAACAUGUGGUUCAAUUCGACGCAACGCGAAGAACCUUACCUGGGCUCGAAAUGCCGGUGACCAUCCGUAGAAAUAUGGACUUCCCGCAAGGGACACCAGUAUAGGUGCUGCAUGGCUGUCGU